GCAUACAGUAGAUUCCACUGUUAUCAUUAAGUUUCACACCGAACUCCAUGGCACACGAUGAGUGUCAUGGGAUUAGGCCGAUUUUGUGUAACUUUCACAUGCGUUUGUGUUAUGAAUUUUAAGCGUGUUUGUUGUUGCGUGAGUUAGAGCGCAAGUCGCAACAGAAAAAAAGCAAAAAGCAGCACUCGUUUCAUCACUUUGAAAGUACGUUUCAGUGGCUUCCGGCGUUGCACAAAAUUGGCUCCAGUCUGGUCACUAUGACCGAAUCCAUUCUGCAAAGCGCCGCAUGCAAAAGAUCCUGCAGAUGAUUUCAGGAGUCUGUUGGACGUGCGAGCAGCAGAUGUGUUACACAUGCAGUUUUCCCCUGGCAGAGCGCAAACGGCACACCGUCGAAGCAGCUGUGAAGAGAUCUAGCGAGUAGCGACAGAGCCUGGAUCUGAAGCAAAGCUAUUACAUUGCAGACGACGCAGAACCGGAGAACGCUCGAGCGUUGCGAAUCUCACACUAGUAGAGUAAGCCUUGGAGUAAACUACAGCGUUGGCAACGUUCGACAGGAAAACGUCCACCACCUCGGCACUCUCCAGCAUGUCCAGCGUUUCAUCGUACAUUCGGCUGAGGAUGUCGCUUCGGUUCACUUCCUGAGGCAGGGUGUAGCGAUGUUCUUCGUGAGACUUUGCUCGUCGUUAUUCAACGACAUCUCUUGGAGCAAAACAAGGUCUCGGCAUCCGCUAGCGUUGGCUGCUGCUUCAGAUUGUACCGCUGCAUAACCACCGUGAUGUUCCUCUGGACAACCUCCAUCAACCGCGUCAGUCCUUCGCCCAUGAAGUACUAAAUCAUCGAAAGGUACGUCGUCUGAAUAUCCAGCGUGAUCUGCUUGUCGUCUUGUCCAACAGUGCCCUUGUACAGGUACCCGCCCAGCAGUAGGCCGUGUGAGUGAAGCGUUUCUGGCGGAGUAUACAGAAUUAAGUUUUAAACGCUUCUAAAAAGAUUAUAGCGCAUUAUCUAAAUGAUCAACACAUAUUCUGACACUAUUGAAUUCCAAAAGUUAUGUUUAUGGUCGAGUUUAUGGUAUUAUGCUUUUGGUCGAAAUACAAAGUGAUCGAACGUGCGAAAAUUGAUUUUUAACCUACUUAGAGAUGUCGCAACUCAAUUUGGAUUAGUGCAUAUUGUUGUUCUUAAUUAGCUUAAUGAUGCGCAACAGAAAAAAAUAGAUUCAAAUUUACUUCGCAGCUGCAACUUCGCAUGUGCUUCUAGCGACGACUUCGAUUUGGUGGUGCGACGAUAAUAUAACUUAUCAAUAUUCUAACUUUUUACAUUAAUCUUUUCGAUAAAAAAUAUCAUAAACUUUUUAUAAGCAUUUAAAACUUAAUUCCCUAUACCGCUAUGUCAGCGCGACUUACGAAUGAUUUUCUGUGGUGCGAACGAAUCCUGAAGGAUGUCGCAAUAGCAGGUUCAAUCGGUAGCAUUUCAAAUAUAGUGAUAUUCAAUGGUAAGUUAUGAUGAAGUUAGAAGCGGAUCAUCUGUAGCAUUUUGAAUAUGUAUUAUUCUAGGGUAUUUUAACCAAUAGUGGACCCAUUAGUAGCUAAAAUUUGCUCUGAUCUUAGAGCAGUAUGAUAAAGUAUAAUAUCCUGAACGAAUUAUAUUUACCAAUAAUUGUGCUAGAUACCUUUAGCUCGACUUUUAGAAUCAUCAUUUGCGUUUGGACGCUUAGAGCACCUUUAACGGUGCGCUUCUAUACCCCGUUUGGCAGCCCUCCAUCAUUGCAGCAAACUUUACCGGUCGCUGCUGGAUGCGCUCGCAAAAUAGUAGCGCUAUGGGUGGGUGACCAAAUAUAGUAGCGGAACAGUUGCGCUGCUAAAAAUUCUAUGGGAAUAUGACAGCCCUCCCGAUACGAAUCAGGGUGACUAAUUUGAUUGCUACCGGUGUGGAAAAGGGUGGUUAAGUCAAAAUGGUAGCGCUGCGCGGAUCGCUCGAAUAGUAGCCGCCGUUAUUGUUGGUCUUAGAUGGGUCUUCAAAUAUAGGUUCACUCUUUAAGUCUGGGGUGCAUGUAUGCAUUUGAGUUAAAUUUGAUGAUUUUUCCAUAGAUUAACUAUCAAAUUUGACACACUUGUAUGCUUGUUCGCCAAACUGCAGUCCAUCAAGUGUCUUUAAGUGCUACAAUAAUGGUGAAGCACGCUGUAAUGUUACUUUCGUACCUCAUCACCCACUAAAUGCAACUUCAUUAGUGGUCUAAUAAUACUUAGCGCGCUUAGGCACGGUUCCAUCAUGCCGCUUAGAGUGUUGCCACAUAUAAUGCUAAGUUUGCUAAACCCAGUUAUCUGGCUGGUGGGGCAUGGGAGCCUAAGCUUCAACCAUUAAUGCAAUUAGACGUUACUUGGACUAUGACAAGAGCGAUCCGAAUAUUUCAAAAUCCAUUCAAAGUAUUUAGAAGCUUGUGUAGACCAUAUUUUACAAACUUAUUGUGUGCAAUCAUUUGUGUACCAUUGUAUCAUUGGAUAUGAAUCAGGAUUAAAAUCAUGUUUUGUACGCUUCGAACGAUCUUCUAAUAUAGGUUCAAGCUGUAGUAUAUCGAGUAUUUUUGAGUGCUACAAAAACGAUUAAGCACGCUGUAAUGUUACUUUUGUACCUCAUCACCCACUAAAUGCAACUACAUUAGUGGUCUAAUAACACUUAGCGCGCUUAGGCACGGUUCCAUCAUGCCGCUUAGAGUGUUGCCACAUAUAAUGCUAAGUUUGCUAAACCCAGUUAUCUGGCCAGUGGGGCAUGGGAGCCUAAGCUUCAAUCAUUAAUGCAAUUAAACAUUACUCGAUUUACGACAUGAUUGAUCCAAAUAUUAGAUAAUUGUUUGAUCUGGCCCUUCGUUGGACAAAGGACACCCGCCAUACAACAGUAUCCUGAAUAGAUCAAGCGCCAUCCUAGGGGGCUUGAAAGGAAGAAGUCGCCAUCUCAAGCCGUCUUCAAAAGAUCCUUCGGCCAUUCAAGAUCGUGUGAAAGGGUCCAACCGCCAUCGUCCACCAAUCCAAUAGGAUCCUCCAACCAACUCGACCACUGCCCAAAGGAUUCGCGCCAAGCUAUUCGCCAUCAACUGGGAUCAGCCAACCAACCAAACCAACCGAGUGAGAAUCUGGAUUCGGCUAGCUGUUUUUCGAUCGUCUACAGGAUCGUAGAAUAACCGGAGCGUUGUUCUACUACCGGUCAGGUAUGUUAGAACAAAUCUAGUAUAUGUUUAGCCGAAGCAUGAGCCAUAUUCCCUACUAACGCCAACCCUUCGAUCUCUUGUGUGGCUGGAUCGUCGUUAAUCAACCGGACUGCGAAUUGACGAACGUGAUGUCGAUGUGCUGCGACCUGUGCAUGCAACGUCGGCCGCUGUGAGGAUCAUCGUUCAACGAACACUACCGAACGGUGAAUUGGUUCGCGAAGAACUAGUUCUGGACGGUUUCAAAUCUGUGCAUGCUGCAACGACGCGACGAGUGAUUGUAACACCGAAGGUGACGACUUGCGGACGGACGACCAAUUGCGACUUCGAGAAGGACGAUUCCAAGGUUGCUUCCAGGCUCGGGCAUUGCAGAACGGCCUUUUCGGUCAGGUAAAUACACCUUAUAGUAUAUGCCCAGCCGAAGCUGGUUUUGUGAUUCUACACACCUAAAUAAAUUUCAACCCUUUCGAUGCCAAUUGGACUGUUGCGAGUCAACUCAUUUAUGGACGCAAUCCCUGAGGUUUUUCGUUGGUUUUCGGACUGAAGCUAAUUCGUUCAGCGCCAUCUUUAGUUCUCCAGGUGAGACUAAGUAUAUGCCCUGCCAAAGCAGGCAUUUUUGUAUAUCUACAUUGGUUGUUUCUUCUCCGCUGCACUGGAAUUGAAUUAAAUUGAGGCGAUUUCACACUGUACCACCCACGACAUUGGAAAUUUGUGACGAUUUUGGACAUUUGGAUGCAAUUUGGACUCGGCUACAAUUGCACGCUGUAGUUUCAUAGGUGAGGCGAACAGUAUAUGUCUAGCCGAAGUUUCAAAUUUGCAUACUACAUUAUUGGGUUUUCCACUCCUACGCAUUGCUGACUUGAAUCGAAACCUGAGACAACUGACCGUACGUUAAGGUGAACCAAAUCGGAGUUUGCUGCUCUGGCUUCGGUAGCGCCGCUGUUUCUUCUCAUAGGUGAGCUGAACAGUAUAUGUCUAGCCGAAGCAAACAAAUUUGCAUACUACAUCUGCGUUUUCUCUCGAAUUUGGAUUCACAAUCGAUUCAACCAUACUGCGAGUGGAGGAUACUGCCGGAUCACCGAGUUUCGUCUGAGCUCCGGUUGCGUAAGGCAAGCAACCAUGUCGAAACCCGUCACGAGGAGUGCGGAUUCCCUGAAGUCGUUGACUACAAAACUGAAGGGACUCAAGUUAUCUUUAAGUAAUAUUUGCGUAUUCGUUAAAAACUUCAAAGAUGAUACUACCGCUGCUCAAAUCAAUGUCCGCC